UGAACUUGGUGUGGUCUCAGCAGAAAGUGCUGCAGGCGAAACAAUGGUUCCUAUAAGUUGGACAGAGAUGCAGUGCCCCUUGUCGGGCCAAACCGAGCAGAGAAAAGUUGCCAAGGUGGGUAGUUGAACUUGAAGGCGAUACUUGGCUUCUCCCACAUAAUGAGGUGUGGGCUUUGUUUGCAACAAGAAAAGCCGUUUUGAAGAUUAUUACAGUUUUUGGGUUAUCAGGUGUAGAGAUAAAAAAGUUUAGAUCCAAUUGACCUUAUUAAGGUUGGCAUAUUCAUGAUAAUUAGGGUACUUACAAGUUCUUAAACUCAAAAGACAUUUUGUUGUUAGUGACUAUUUCAAAAUUUGUGUGUUAAAGUUUUCCCUUUGGUAGAAGAAAACAUUUGAUUUUAAAUAUGAUCGUAGCGACAUUUAAAUCA